rnacentral:rRNA from 1 species
AGACCCCAUGGAGCUUCAAACCCAAUUACACCCCUAACCCCUAUAACUACUUAACCCUUAGGAUUCUGUAUUAUUGGUUUUAGGUUGGGGCGACCACGGAGUACAACAAAACCUCCACAAUGAACGGAACUACUUCCUCAUCUGAGAGCUACAUCUCUAAGAAUUAAAAUAUUAACAUAAAAUGAUCCAUUUUUGAUCAAUGAACCAAGUUACCCUGGGGAUAACAGCGCAAUCCAUUUCAAGAGCCCCUAUCGACAAA